CAGCACUUGCACCGUAAGAAAAGUUUUCCUGAAAGAUCUGCCAGUUCUGCUCUUCUCCACUGUCCUUGAGGACAGUUUCCCAGGUGGUUUUGUUGUCUAACUCCCUGAAGAGCUGGAAGUUGGCUUCCCUAAAAUUUAGCAUCCUGAUUUUACUCUUUGUCCUAUAUCCUUCAGGAGUGUGAACUCCAGCGUUGCACGGUCACUGCUGCCCAAGCAGUCUCCAGUCCUGAUAUCACCAACCAUUUCCCUUGCACUGCUCAGCAGCAGGUCUCGUAUUCCAUUCCUCCUGGUGGGACCAUCUAUAUGACUUGACUCAGAAAGUUAUCCUCAAUGCAUUCCAGGAGCCUCCUGGAUUGCAUGCAGCCUGCCAUGCUACUUUUCCAGCAGACGUCAGGGUAGUUGAAAUCCCCCAGUGGGACAAGAGACUGUGAUUGUGAUGCUUCCUAUAUCCAGAGGAAGAAGGCCUCAUUAGCAGACUCUUCUUGAUUGGGUGGCCUGUAGCAGGCACCAACCACGAGGCUUCCUUUGUUGCCUUGGUCUCUAACUCUCACCUUGUCUUGUUCAUGGCCUUUCUUAAGGGAUGUCUCUUCACAUUCUGUUCCUUGACCUCCUCCCCUCCUUCCUCGACUUAUCCUUCUGAAGAGCUUGUAGCCAUUGAUAGCCACAUUCCAGUCUGGGGAAUCAUCCCACCGGGGUUCAGUGCUGGCAACUACAUCAUGCUUUUCUAAUAGCAUCGUGGCUUCCAGCUCCUGUUUGUUUCCCAUUCUCGCUCUCUUUCUAAUUGGUUUACACAGACACGCAGCUAACUGGAUGUGACAACCAGUUAACAACCUUGUGAAGGCAUCAGGGCAAAAACUGUACUGUCUCACUCUUGUGAGAGGUGCAAAGCAAACAUGUGUUGUGCCCAAGUGCAAUGGAGAACCCAGGAGUUAGUCGUCGUGCUUAAGGUGUUCUUGGGUACCCCCCAUGUCCCCCAGCCAUGACCAUCCACAAACGCCAUGUGAUUGGAGAGGCACAGCUGGUACAGCAUGUGCAUGGUAUGUGAUACUCAACACACCCUCAACCACCCCAGAUGGAGGAGGAUGGACCCUCAGGACAUCAUGGGAUCCGCUAUGCGCUACGUAUGAUGUUUGUGAACAGCUAACCUGAAAGAACCAAGUGCAACAGGAGUGGAAUUGCAUCAAAAGUCUCCAACAAAUACAUUGGGAACUCACCCAGAAGUGCAACUGCUGCCAUUGAACAAGACUGAUGCCUCAGCUUCCUAAGAACGAGAUCCUGCAUCCCAGUCGUUUACUGUUUUGGUCCUAGGAAACUCCUCUUAAGCUCGAUGUGACUCAGGUGAGCCAGAAGGUUGGAUGCUCGUGCCCUAUUACAGCUUGGAGGGGCAUCCUUAUUUUAGGCCUAGAAGAUUUGGAGAGGAAAGAGCUUUCUCCUUACCAUCCUGGGGUUUAAGGAAGCUUCUCAGAGGUGACAUGUGCCUUACCCAAGGGGCAGGCAAGAAGAACUGCUGCCAUGAUGGUGCUGGUCAUGGGCAGCUGCACCGUGAGCUCUGCUGGGCUGUGUGCUGGCCUGGGGUCUAAGAACUGAGCAUGCUUAAUCAUAGUUAAACCUAC
ensembl:lncRNA